AUUCGCUUGGUGCAGGUCGGGAACUGAUUCGGCGAUUUGAUUGCCAGAUGGCUCGACAUGACUGGUUGUUGUGGAAAAAGAAAAGGAAGGAAACAGGAAAAAAAACAAAGAAUAGCGAAUUGGAUCCCGCCUUGCAUCAACUGAA
rnacentral:pre_miRNA from 13 species